rnacentral:rRNA from 1 species
AUGCGUAGAUAUCUGGGAGAACGCCGAUGGCGAAGGCAGCUUGCUGGGUCGCGUCUGACGCUGAGGCCCGAAAGCUAGGGGAGCGAACAGGAUUAGAUACCCUGGUAGUCCUAGCCGUAAACGAUGGGCACUACGUUCCGGAGGGCCUGAUCCCUUCGAAGCGUGAGUUAACGCAUUAAGUGCCCCGCCUGGGGAGUAUGGUCGCAAGGCUAAAACUCAAAGGAAUUGACGGGGGCUCACACAAGCGGUGGAGCAUGUUGUUCAAUUCGAAGCAACGCGAAGAACCUUACCUGGGCUUGACAUGCUAGUAGUACGAACCCGAAAGGGGGAGGACUCUUAACCGAGAGCUAGCACAGGUGCUGCAUGGCUGUCGUCAGCUCGUGUCGUGAGACGUUGGGUUAAGUCCCGUAACGAGCGAAACCCUUGUUGUCUGUUGCCAUCGGGUCAUGCCGGGCACUCUGGCAAGACUGCCGGUCCUAAACCGGAGGAAGGCGGGGACGACGUCAAGUCAUCAUGGUCCUUACGUCCAGGGCUACAAACGUGCUACAAUGGCCAGUAUAGAGAGAAGCGAGACCGCGAGGUGGAGCAAAUCUUCAAAGCUGGCCCCAGUUCGGAUUGGAGGCUGCAAUUCGCCUCCAUGAAGUUGGAAUCGCUAGUAAUCGCCAUCCCAACCGCGGUGAUAUGUCCGAGCCUGUACACACCGCCCGUCAAGCCACCCAAGCUGGAGCACCCAAAGUCAGCGCC